GGAUGUGAGGGCAAUCUGGCUGCAACAUCUGUCAGCCCAUCACCAGGGUUGAUUCAGCUUAUCUGGCUGGCUAGGCAGGCGUCCCCUUCCUCCCUCAACUCUCCAUGCAUCCCUCCCAAAGCUGCGUACUGUAUGUAAGAGAAUGAACACCCCCGAUGGAGGAGGACCAUUCCUCCUUCAAGGGGAUAUGAGUAGCUAUGCUUCCCUGUUAGAACCUUUUAACAUGCUCUCAAAAACAUGAAUUCUAUCAAAAAAUCUUCCUUUUUUACCACUCAAUAAAGAAUAGUAUGAAAAUUAAGUGAACUUUUUAGAAAGUCU
rnacentral:snRNA from 1 species